AACUGUCAGUCGUCCAGCUG
rnacentral:snRNA from 1 species